UGUUGUAUUUACUUGAAGCUUUCUUAGAUUUUGAAACGAAGUAAACACGUAAUGUGUGUUGCUAAUGUUGGGCCAUGUAAUAUGUAAUACAUUAACGUUUUAAUGAAUAGUCUAACGAUUUAUAGUCAUGGUACUCUAUUGUUAUAAUAUGUCUUUUUGACUGAAUACAUGUUUGUUUUAUUUGUCUAUAUCCUAGAUUCGCAGCUGGACACAUCCUUCUACACUGUAUGCAAACAUGCAACAUCAUAACACACAGUACAAGGAGUCAGACUGGCAUAUGAGGAGCAAAGGAACCCAGACAGUAGCAUCGUUUCACAAUGUUUCCAUCACCAUCAUCAGUGGAUGCCUUUGCCGUCCGUAGCCUGAGAUUUCAGAUUUGCAGCAAAAAAAUUUGAUUUUCUCAUUUAUUGGAAUGCUAUGCAGGUUGUACCUUGCAGCCAUCCAUUACAAUGUCACCAAGCCGUAACAAAAGCAGGAGAGGGAAAGUACAAGGCUAUGUUCCCAAAACACACAAAUGACAUACCUUAUGUGGAUGAUGUGAUCAGGCUUGUAUUUGAUGAGGUAUUUGAAGAUAAGCUGAAGGAAACCCCGAUUCCAAUGGACCUGGCAUCACAGUUUGAGAAACCUUCAAAGGAGGACGUGAUUGCAUGCCAUCUUCAGUGCAGGGGUCGUCGGAAGCCAACAUUCCAAUCAGGAAGCUCCAAGCAUAUCUGGAGAACAACACACGACAGGAUGAUAACCCUAAAGUGUCAUCUUAGAUAGCAUCAGCUGACAAAGCUUUGAUAUGCCAUUUAUCUGAAUAGAUAGCUGUAAGAAGUGAAUUGAACAAUUUUUG